GGCGUGCCUAAUACAUGCAAGUCGAACGCUUCUUUUUCCACCGGAGCUUGCUCCACCGGAAAAAGAGGAGUGGCGAACGGGUGAGUAACACGUGGGUAACCUGCCCAUCAGAAGGGGAUAACACUUGGAAACAGGUGCUAAUACCGUAUAACAAUCAAAACCGCAUGGUUUUGAUUUGAAAGGCGCUUUCGGGUGUCGCUGAUGGAUGGACCCGCGGUGCAUUAGCUAGUUGGUGAGGUAACGGCUCACCAAGGCCACGAUGCAUAGCCGACCUGAGAGGGUGAUCGGCCACAUUGGGACUGAGACACGGCCCAAACUCCUACGGGAGGCAGCAGUAGGGAAUCUUCGGCAAUGGACGAAAGUCUGACCGAGCAACGCCGCGUGAGUGAAGAAGGUUUUCGGAUCGUAAAACUCUGUUGUUAGAGAAGAACAAGGAUGAGAGUAACUGUUCAUCCCUUGACGGUAUCUAACCAGAAAGCCACGGCUAACUACGUGCCAGCAGCCGCGGUAAUACGUAGGUGGCAAGCGUUGUCCGGAUUUAUUGGGCGUAAAGCGAGCGCAGGCGGUUUCUUAAGUCUGAUGUGAAAGCCCCCGGCUCAACCGGGGAGGGUCAUUGGAAACUGGGAGACUUGAGUGCAGAAGAGGAGAGUGGAAUUCCAUGUGUAGCGGUGAAAUGCGUAGAUAUAUGGAGGAACACCAGUGGCGAAGGCGGCU
rnacentral:rRNA from 1 species